rnacentral:rRNA from 1 species
UACGAAGGGGGCGAGCGUUGUUCGGAUUUACUGGGCGUAAAGGGCGCGUAGGCGGCCCAUCAAGUCGAGUGUGAAAGCCCCGGGCUCAACCUGGGAGGUGCGCUCGAGACUGGUGGGCUGGAGUUCGGGAGAGGAGCGUGGAAUUCCCAGUGUAGAGGUGAAAUUCGUAGAUAUUGGGAAGAACACCGGUGGCGAAGGCGGCGCUCUGGACCGAGACUGACGCUGAGGCGCGAAGGCGUGGGGAGCAAACAGG